UAGCCCCCUAAGGGCUUGCACAAUUCCUCUCUCAAAUUCAUUUGCACUUUUUAUCAUUUGCACAUACUUCAUGUAAGUAAUAAAAGAUUUUUAUUUCUCUCUGUGUUUAUCCUUUAGUUACACAUCAGAUGCCUUACCUGAAACUACAACUACAAGAAGAGGUUUCUCCAAACAAAAUCACCGAAGCUCAGAGCCGGAGGGUUCUCUGAAGACAAAGAUUUUCAAGUCUUGUUGAAAUAGAGCCACAUAAGGAGCAGGAGGGGCAGCUGCUAACUAGUGCCCCACCCCCGGCCCAGGAAUCUAUCCACCACCACCAACCCUAGCCGGAAAGAGGCAGCCUUACAGACUACAUUUGCCUGGCCACAGCUGCUUAAACCCCACAUGAAAAGCUGAGCAAGGUUAAACCAGUCAGAUUCUCUUUCAUGGGAAUUUAAAACUUGAGAUACUGAGUCAUUUAGCCCUGGAGAACCAAGUUGGAAGUUAAUGGAGACUUGGGGUCCAAGACUACAUUUUAGGGUGGCCGUGAUGGGUGCAGGCAAACGAGCAAGCGGAAGAGCUGGUCUGAAGAAAGAAGAAUGAGGCUGCCUUGUAGAGAGAAGCAGGCAGAUGUCAUGUGGACUCCUAAAGAGAAAGAGAUGGUGAGAUUAGCCUCUGGUGACUAUCUAGUUCUCAUGAAGCUCAACUACAUGUCCUACAUUUGGUGUGCAAUUCUUCUGCAUUCUUAUAUAAUAAACCCACUGUUUGUUAGUUA